UGAAGUUAUGAAUUCAACAGGUGAAGAUUUACAACUUGAUAAAUCAGCUUUGUGAGCUCGAGCUGUAAAAGCCAAAGGUCCGGUGAUGAUCCCAUACCCUUUUUUCCAGUCUCAUGUUGAAGAUUUUUAUGUAGAAGGCCUUCCCAAAGGAAUUUUUUUUUUUUUUUUUUGAGAUGGAGUUUUCACUCUUAUCGCCCAGGCUGGGGUGCAAUGGCGCAACCUUGCUGGUCACUGCAACCUCUGCCUCCUGGGUUCAAGAAAUUCUCCUGCCUUAGCCUCCCAAGUCGCUGGGAUUACAGGUGCCUACCACCACACCAGGCUAAUUUUUGUAUUUUUAGUGGAGAUGGGGUUUCGCCAUGUUGGCCGGGCCAGUCUCGAACUCCUGACGUCAAGUGAUCUUCCCGCCUCGGCCUCCCAGAGUGCUGAGAUUACAGACGUGAACCCAUGCCUGGCCAGGAAUUUUGUUUUUUAGGAAGGCUUUCUACUAAUGGAAUUCCUGGCCUUGAGAGGAUGUUACUUUCGAAGGAAAGGAUUUUUUUGUUAUUAAAAGAGCCACCUAAGCUGAAGAUUCCCUUGAGAACAAGUACUGUCCUGCAGUUUCAUGGCCUUUCUUCCAUUUGUGGUUCUUGCGAAGUGGAAUUUAAAUGACAUCUUAUCAAGAUGGAUAAACCCUAGUUUCCCAGUGCUGGAAUAUAGAAAAUGGAUGGACAAGUAAAUCCCACUCAGCACCCAUAGUCCAGGCAUGGGGACCUCAACACACCUGAGCCCCAGACAUCACCUUUCAUUCUGGACCUACCAUGAAAGACUUCUGAAUCCAGGAAGAGAAACUGACUGGGCAACAUGUUAUUCAGAUGGGGUCCUCUUAUGUUGCCCAGGCUGGUCUCAAAUUCCUAGGCUCAAGUGAUUCCGCCCACCUCUGCCUCCCAAAGUGCUGGGAUUACGGGCAUGAGCCAGCGCAUCUGGCCACCUUAUUUUCUAUUACUGGCUCAAUGUAAUGGCUCCAUCUGAGGAACAGCCAAUGAAAGAGAUGCACAGGACAAGAAACAGGACCUUGCCCUGUCACUCAGGAUGGAGUUCAGUGGUCCUAUCAUGGCUCAUUAUAGCCUCAAACUCCCAGGCUCAAGCAAUCCUACCAUGUCAGCCUUCCCAGUAUCUGGGACUACAGGUAAGCAUCGUGACACUCAGUGAAUUUUGUUUUUAUUUUGUUGUAGAGAUGGGACCUCAGUAUGUUGCCACGGCUGACCUUGAACUCCUGCACUCAAGGGAUUUUCCUGCCCUGGCCUCCCAAAGUAUUGGUAUUACAGGCAUGAGCCAUUGUGCCCACCGUCUCUGGUUCUUAACCUUCUGCCUCCCUCUUCCAGUUUUAAAGAAUGCUUGUAAUUACAUGGGCUCUCCUAGAUACUCCAGGAUAAUCUUGUUUUAAGGUCAGCUGAUGAGCAACAUUAAUUUUAUCUGCACUCUUAAUUCCCCCUUCCUAUGUAAUUGUGCUGUGUAACAUAGGACAUGAGCAAUUGGUGGCAGUGGGGGUUAUUACUUUGGCCACCACAGUAACUAUUUUAUGCCAGGUACUCAGCUAAGCACUGGUGAAUUAAGCAUGAAUAACACACACUCCCUAAUCUCCAUCCAUUCAUGGGAGGAGCACCUCACCUGCCAUGCUCCUGAGAAUCUCAGGAGUCAGAGAAGU